rnacentral:pre_miRNA from 1 species
UAUAUACUCCCUCCGUCCGAAAAUACUUGUCAUCAAAAUGGAUAAAAGGGAUGUAUCUAGAUGUAUUUUAGUUUUAGAUACAUCCCUUUUUGUCCAUUUUGAUGACAAAUAUUUUCGGACGGAGGGAGUAUAAU